CCCUCCUCUCUCACUAGCAGCUUGCAAAUUCAUGGAUCAUCUGAACUGCAGCAGCAACCUCCCAAUGCACUGCAAAUGCUUCAGUGCAGAUCACUUAAUCCAUCAGAACACAACACUCAGACUCUCUCAGGUAAAAUCUCAGCUGUACCUGCUCUGUGUGAUGCUCCAGACCAGCAAACUCCUCAGAGCACUCCAAAGACAAAUGAGUCUUCUGUCACCCACUCCAGAAAUGUUUUUCCAGAGGUGUCCAACACCAUUUUCCAAGUUGACAGUGCUGACUGGAGUAAACAAGCUGAGCAAACAAGACAUCUAGACAAAUCAAAUAAACUGCAAAACAAGACCGGCAUGAGAACUGCUGAUUUAAUAUCUAUAAGUCGAGAACAAAGUAUGUAAUGUCAUAAUAAAAAUUGUAGCUAUUAUCA
rnacentral:lncRNA from 1 species